AAUGGUGAAAAAAAGGUUCAUUGGAUUGCAUGGAAGAAAAUGUGUGUUAGCAAGCAAGAUGGAGGUAUGGGCUUUCGUGACAUGGAGGCUUUUAAUCAAGCUUUGCUUGCAAAGCAGGCAUGGAGGAUCCUGCAAGUCCCCUCCUCUCUCUGCUCUAGGGUACUAAAGGCUAGAUAUUUCACCAAUGGUUCCAUUCUCAGUGCAACAUGUCCGAGUGGAGCAUCGUUCACGUUCAGAAGUAUCUUGUAUGGUCGAGAU
rnacentral:rRNA from 1 species